ensembl:lncRNA
GCUGAAAUGAGUCAAGCAGCAGUGGAGCCAACAUACUUUUGCUAGGAAGAAACUGUGAUCCAAAUGGUUUCGUUUAAGCUGAGAGAAAUCCUGUUUUUAAUAUUGAUUCUGACACCAGUGUUUCCAGAUGACUUACCUGUACCUAGGACCACAUUUCUCCACUACCACUUGGAGAAGAUUUACACUUGUGCAUUCAGGGCACUAAGUUCAGAGCAGCUGUGCACAGAUCUUGAGACUUCCCUAUAUCUUCUUUCCUCCAUCCCUCUUUCCUCAUGAACCAGACCUUCAAUGGGAGGAGG